AGAGUGAACGCUGGCGGUAGGCCUAACACAUGCAAGUCGAACGGCAGCACAGUAGGAGCUUGCUCUUACGGGUGGCGAGUGGCGGACGGGUGAGGAAUACAUCGGAAUCUACCUUUUGGUGGGGGAUAACGUAGGGAAACUUACGCUAAUACCGCAUACGCCCUUCGGGGGAAAGCCGGGGACCAGCAAUGGCCUGGCGCUGAUAGAUGAGCCGAUGUCGGAUUAGCUAGUUGGUGAGGUAAUGGCUCACCAAGGCGACGAUCCGUAGCUGGUCUGAGAGGUUGAUCAGCCACACUGGAACUGAGACGACGGUCCAGACUCCUACGGGAGGCAGCGAGGUGGGGAAUAGUGGACAAGUGGGCG
rnacentral:rRNA from 1 species